UAGAAGAUAUGGUACAAAGAUCCUUCACUGUACUUCCCUACAGCCGGAACGGAAAAGCCUUUGGGAGCAUUCCUUUGAUCGGGUUUCAGAGAUCCACAUCAGGCAACCGUGUGAUUCCAAUUUUGUCUGUUCAGGUGUUGCACAUGGCAGAUGGGAGCAUCUCGGUUUGAGAAAAAGACUGCCCCUCCUUGGAGCUGGUGAGCUGCCAUUCGGGUUUAUACAUGAUUUUCCUGCAGACUUGGCAAGCAGAUCAGCCUUGAUGAGCCCUGAUGCAACAUCAAAUUCACUGUUUGUCGAGCCAAGGAUCAGACUGCGAAGGUCAGGCCAGAGCAGCAAGACAUCCUCCAAGAUCUGUGUUUCCUCAGAACCCAUCCCGGGGCCAGCAGCACUGAAUGACCCGGGAAUUUUUAAAAAAUAUCAGUUCCUGGCUCCCACUCCAGCCUUUCUUGAAUCACAGAGGAGAUGAGGAAGGAAGAAAGCACAGCAAAUCGGGCCAAAGAGCAGUGAGUGAAAAUGACGAAGGAAAGACUUCCUGAGAUGCCAGAGGAUGAGAAUGUGGAGCAGAGCCAAGCCUGGACCGCCCAUUAGGAGGCUGCUGCUGGACCUUGGCCGAGAUGUAGGAAAGGCCUGGACCACACUGCUGUAAGGAUGGAGAGAGCUUCUUGAAGGGGAGAGUGGAUAUGAAAAAUUUCAGAAAA